rnacentral:rRNA from 1 species
UGGGGAAUAUUGCACAAUGGGGGAAACCCUGAUGCAGCCAUGCCGCGUGUAUGAAGAAGGCCUUAGGGUUGUAAAGUACUUUCGGUGAUGAGGAAGGUACUUGGUCUAAUAGGCCAAGUAAUUGACGUUAAUUACAGAAGAAGCACCGGCUAACUCCGUGCCAGCAGCCGCGGUAAUACGGAGGGUGCGAGCGUUAAUCGGAAUGACUGGGCGUAAGGGCAGUGUAGCGGAGUGAUUAAGUUAGGUGUGAAAUCCCCGAGCUCAACUUGGGAAUUGCAUUUAAAACUGGUCGUCUAGAGUAUUGUAGAGGAAGGUAGAAUUCCACGUGUAGCGGUGAAAUGCGUUAGAGAUGUGGAGGAAUACCGGUGGCGAAGGCGGCCUUCUGGACAGAUACUGACGCUGAGAUGCGAAAGCGUGGGGAGCAAACA